rnacentral:rRNA from 1 species
GACGAACGCUGGCGGCGUGCUUAACACAUGCAAGUCGAACGGUAAGGCCCUUCGGGGUACACGAGUGGCGAACGGGUGAGUAACACGUGGGUGAUCUGCCCUGCACUUCGGGAUAAGCCUGGGAAACUGGGUCUAAUACCGGAUAGGACUCCGGACUGCAUGGUCUGGGGUGGAAAGCUUUUGCGGUGUGGGAUGGGCCCGCGGCCUAUCAGCUUGUUGGUGGGGUGAUGGCCUACCAAGGCGACGACGGGUAGCCGGCCUGAGAGGGUGACCGGCCAAACUGGGACUGAGAUACGGCCCAGACUCCUACGGGAGGCAGCGGUGGGGAAUAUUGCACAAUGGGCGCAAGGCUGAUGCAGCGACGCCGCGUGAGGGAUGACGGCCUUCGGGUUGUAAACCUCUUUCAGCAUCGACGAAGCGAAAGUGACGGUAGGUGCAGAAGAAGGACCGGCCAACUACGUGCCAGCCGCCGCGGUAA